rnacentral:rRNA from 1 species
GCAUACGGCUCAGUAACACGUAGUCAACAUGCCCAGGGGGCGUGGAUAACCUCGGGAAACUGAGAAUAAACCGCGAUAGGCCAAGGUUUCUGGAAUGGACCAUGGCUGAAAACCUACAUGCCCCUGGAUUGGACUGCGGCCGAUCAGGCUGUUGGUGAGGUAAUGGCCCACCAAACCUGUAACCGGUACGGGCUUUGAGAGAAGGAGCCCGGAGAUGGGCACUGAGACAAGGGCCCAGGCCCUAUGGGGCGCAGCAGGCGCGAAACCUCUGCAAUAGGCGAAAGCUUGACAGGGUUACUCUGAGUGAUGCCCGCUAAGGGCAUCUUUUGGCACCUCUAAAAAUGGUGCAGAAUAAGGGGUGGGCAAGUCUGGUGUCAGCCGCCGCGGUAAUACCAGCACCCCGAGUGGUCGGGACGAUUAUUGGGCCUAAAGCAUCCGUAGCUUGUUCUGCAAGUCCUCCGUUAAAUCCACCUGCUCAACAGAUGGGCUGCGGAGGAUACUACAGGGCUAGGAGGCGGGAGAGGCAAGCGGUACUCAGUGGGUAGGGGUAAAAUCCUCUGAUCCACUGAAGACCACCAGUGGCGAAGGCGGCUUGCCAGAACGCGCUCGACGGUGAGGGAUGAAAGCUGGGGGAGCAAACCGGAUUAGAUACCCGGGUAGUCCCAGCUGUAAACGAUGCAGACUCGGUGAUGGGUUGGCUUUGCGCCAACCCAGUGCCGCAGGGAAGCCGU